UGCAUCUCAUUUUACGAGUUGACAGUACAGAAAAAGCUGGGAUUUAAUACAGGUAGGCCACAGCCUCUUUUUCCUCCUUUUAAACUAUUUUUCUCUCUCCUAUCUCUGUCUUUACUAAAGGCAAAUUAUAGUAGAAUUAACUUAUUUGCCAAAAUAAACUGUACUUUCAAUAUACGGGGUCUGAUUAUUUGCAUAAAGUGCAGUAAGAAUAAUUAAUUAUUAGCCAUCUAGGCUCUUCUUUCCUUUAAAAUUGGCUUUGCUGGAACCUUUUAUAAGGAAUCUCAGGCUGGACUUUUUGAAAGCCAUUCAGAGCCCAGGUUUCAUCUGUGCCAUUAAAUAACUGUAUGCAUUGGGUAAAUUUUUCUUCUCUUGAGGUCUCCAAGCAUAUUUUGAUUCCCGAACCUGUCAGCAAGCGACCUUCAUUACUUACUACAGAUAAGGAAAUGUUACUGAUGUGUAUCUGGCCAGUUUUCCAAAGGGCUUUUUUAUUGACCUUAUAAAGUCAACCUGAAUUCCUUAAUGCAGUCUGGACACCUCUGGAAAUGUUACUCCAGCCAAAACCUUGGUAAAAUAACCAGUACCUUCAUUAUGUUCUAUAGAAACAAAACAGAUUCUUAUUGAACUUAUGCAAAUUACUGGUAUUGUCAGAAAUUAAGAAUGCUUACAAAUGGCUUUCAAAUUCUAGAAAAAUCAAGGAGAGAAAAAUACAUGUUUCAAACUCUGCUCAUAAGUACAUACAUUUCUUGAAAAGUUACAAAUAGCUUGAGAGACAUAAAAUUAUUUUCUUGACUUCUGGAAAACAGAACACAGACAGAAUCAACAAUAUUUCGAACAAAAAGCCAUUACAAACUAGUCCAGUUCCACGUAACUGAUUUCUGUUUUUUUAUGAAGUUAAGUUAGUAGUACUUAUAGACAUGUUAUCUUUUUAAUGAAAGUUCUAAAAAUCUGCUUUUAGUCCGAAGGUAUUCAAUUUUUAAAAACAUCAGUAAUUUGGUGCGUGGGCCGCGCGGGCUGGCCAUGGCGGGCGGUCACCGGCGUGCCCAGCGGUGGGACUUGGGAUAGCUGACGGCCAGGAGAAAUAGAGUGGAAAAUGCAAAACAACGAAAUUAUAAAACCUGCCAAAUACUUCUCAGAAUUGGAAAAGAGCAUUUUGCUUGCUUUAGUAGAAAAGUACAAAUAUGUGCUGGAGUGUAGGAAAAGUGAUGCUCGAACUAUUGCCCCCAAGCAACGUACCUGGCAAGCGCUUGCCCACGAGUACAACUCCCAGCCAAGCGUGUCACUGUGGGAUUUCAAACAGCUGAAGAAGUGUUGGGAGAACAUCAAGGCUUGGACCAAAAAAAUUAUGGCCCAUGAAAGGAGAGAGAAAGUAAAACGUAGUGUCAGCCCACUUCUGAGCACCCAAGUCUUAGGAAAGGAGAAGAUUGCCAGCAUGCUGCCGGAGCAGCUCUACUUCCUGCAGUCCUCCUGAGGAGGAGCCGAAGUACCACCCUGACACUGCGGCCCAAGAAUCAUUUGCUGUUUCAAAUAGAGAACUGUGCGAUGAUGAGAAAGAGUUCAUUCAUUUUCCAGUGUGAGGGGACCUCUCAACCUGAACCCUCGUGUUCAGCUGUCAGAAUAACAGCCAAUAAAAACUACAGGAGCAAAACUUCUCAGGAAGGUGCUUUAAAAAAGAUGCAUGAGGAAGAACACCAUCAACAAAUGUCCAUCUUACAACUGCAGCAGAUACAAAUGAAUGAAGUGCAUGUGGCCAAAAUCCAGCAGAUAGAGCGAGAGUGUGAGAUGGCAGAGGAGGAACACAGGAUAAAAAUGGAAGUUCUCAAUAAAAAGAUGAUGUACUGGGAAAGAAAACUACAAACUUUUACCAAGGAAUGGCCUGCCCUUUCCCAAUUCACCGUAAGACUUUGGGGGUGGCUCUCUUGUAAUUAAUCUGUGUUGGCAAAGAAAGUCUGGAACAUGAACUUGUGGUCUGUAACCUGUAACAGCUACAACUAGGAAAAUUAGAGUGGUAAUAGUCACUUAUCUAAGAAUACAUUCAGGUAAACAGCUGCACCCUAUUUACCCCUUAAGUGGCAAAGAAGCUGUUAUAGUCUUCUGAAAAUUAUCACUAUGAGUGCGAUAAUUCUGAAUGUAAUGUCUCUUAAUUAGAAUUCAUACAAGAACCAUGUGUGAGUGUUGUUGUAUUUUUUUUAAUCAAAUGCAAGUGUGACUAUAAAGGAGCGUAGCUGAUGUUUUUUUUUUUUUUUAAACAGCAGAACUUUUCUAUCCAAAUGAAUGCCCUUCCAUCAAAAUCAGCUGUCCUGGGAGGCUACAUGUCUCCAGUGAUGAUGCUGUUGCUCAGAACUUGCUAGAGGUCUUUAGGGAACCCCCUUGAGAGCUACAGCACCUUUUUUACUGUUUGGGUGCCAUCCUCUGAGUGUGCAUUUUCUGUUUUUCAACAGCCCAACAUUUAGAAGGGUAUUUUCUAAUGUGAAUCAUAAACUGCCUUUUCAGGCCUUUCCCCAAAGAGGAGUUCUAAAUAAUGUCUCCAACCAUGAAGCUUUGCUGGAACUAGGGUGUGACUAACUACUUUGAAGGAGAAAUGUUUGUUUAGAUUUCUACAUUCUGUUAUGUUUGCUUUAUUAAA